CCUACGGGAGGCAGUAGUGGGGAAUAUUGCACAAUGGGGGAAACCCUGAUGCAGCGACGCCGCGUGAGUGAAGAAGUAUUUCGGUACGUAAAGCUCUAUCAGCAGGGAAGAAAAUGACGGUACCUGACUAAGAAGCCCCGGCUAACUACGUGCCAGCAGCCGCGGUAAUACGUAGGGGGCAAGCGUUAUCCGGAUUUACUGGGUGUAAAGGGAGCGUAGACGGCAGCGCAAGUCUGGAGUGAAAUCCCAUGGCUUAACCAUGGAACUGCUUUGGAAACUGUGCAGCUAGAGUGCAGGAGAGGUAAGCGGAAUUCCUAGUGUAGCGGUGAAAUGCGUAGAUAUUAGGAGGAACACCAGUGGCGAAGGCGGCUUACUGGACUGUAACUGACGUUGAGGCUCGAAAGCGUGGGGAGCAAACAGGAUUAGAUACCCGGGUAGUC
rnacentral:rRNA from 1 species